CAUUUUUUGAAAAAUGAAGAAUCCCCUAUCAGUAUCGCCUUAUCAGUGUCCCCGUAUCGGUGCUUCCUAGGUGCACUGGCCACCAUGUCGACGACCAUCCAUUCCUGAGAAUUUUGAUCCUUUUCGUCGGACAUUUGAGCAUUAUUUUAUAUUUUCAGAAGAAUUUGAUUUUGACUGAAAUUCUCAAUUUUUGCUUAAAUGAGCAAGUAAGAAUUUUCUUAAACGUCCGGUACUAGAAAUAACCCGUGCCAUAAAGGUACUGGUUAAUCCGAAACCAAUGUAACACUAUUCUAAUAAAUUGGUAGUUGCUUUAUGGGGAAAAUUGUAUAAAAGUAUUGAAAACCAUCUCAUUAUUGUUCCUUUGAGGAAUUUUCCUACAAUAAUUUUGACGGGUUAAAUGUAUAUGUGAGUUUUUGAUAUCUAGUCUUUCGAUCAUAUUCGAAAUCUAGAAUUAUAAGAAUCUUAAAUUACAACACUCAAAGCUAUGCAUUCGAGAGUUUGGCUGCCACGUUUGUUUUUUUGAAUCACUAACACAACAUUAUAAAAUGUGAAUAUGAAUAAUAAUAAUAACGCGUAAAAUGUGAAUCUUUUUGUCCUAGCAGUAACGAUGGAUACUAGACGUUGUGCGUAUCGAUCCGUGCAGUGCUGUAGCUAACGCGUUAAGUAUCCCGCUUGGGGAGUACGUUCACAAGAAUCAAACUCAAAGGAAUUGACGGGGGGACGCACAAGCGGUGGAGCAUGUGGUUUAAUUCGAUGCAAAGCGAAGAACCUUACCAGGGCUUGACAUGUUGCGAAUCCUCUUGAAAGAGAGGGGUGCCUUCGGGAACGCGGAUACAGGUGGUGCAUGGCUGUCGUCAGCUCGUGUCGUAAGGUGUUGGGUUAAGUCCCGCAACGAGCGCAACCCUCGUGUUUAGUUUCCACCAUUGAGUUUGGAUCCCUGAACAGACUGCCGGUAAUAAGCCGGAGGAAGGUGAGGAUGACGUCAAGUCAUCAUGCCCUUUAUGCACUGGGCGACACACGUGCUACAAUGGCCGGGACAAAGGGUCGCGAUCCCGCGAGGGUGAGCUAACCCCAAAAACCCGUCCUCAGUUUGGAUUACAGGCUGCAACUCUCCUGCAUGAAGCCGAAUUCGCUAGUAAUCGUCAGUCAGCCAUACGACAGUGAAUUCGUUCCCGGGCCUUGUAUACACCGUCCGUCACACUAUGGGAGCAGUGGACUCCUGAUGUUUGGAUUUUUCAAAACUCCAUGGACAUGCAGAAG
rnacentral:rRNA from 1 species